AUUGAACGCUGGCGGAAUGCUUUACACAUGCAAGUCGAACGGCAGCACGGACUUCGGUCUGGUGGCGAGUGGCGAACGGGUGAGUAAUGUAUCGGAACGUGCCCAGUCGUGGGGGAUAACGUAGUGAAAAUUACGCUAAUACCGCAUACGAUCUAUGGAUGAAAGCGGGGGAUCGCAAGACCUCGCGCGAUUGGAGCGGCCGAGAUCAGAUUAGGUAGUUGGUGGGGUAAAGGCCCACCAAGCCAACGAUCUGUAGCUGGUCUGAGAGGACGACCAGCCACACUGGAACUGAGACACGGUCCAGACUCCUACGGGAGGCAGCAGUGGGGAAUUCUGGACAAUGGGCGAAAGCCUGAUCCAGCCAUUCCGCGUGCAGGAUGAAGGCCCUCGGGUUGUAAACUGCUUUUGUACAGAACGAAAAGGUUUCUACUAAUACUAGGAGCUCAUGACGGUACUGUAAGAAUAAGCAUCGGCUAACUACGUGCCAGCCGCCGCAGUAA
rnacentral:rRNA from 1 species